rnacentral:rRNA from 1 species
UGGGGAAUUUUGGACAAUGGGCGAAAGCCUGAUCCAGCAAUGCCGCGUGUGUGAAGAAGGCCUUCGGGUUGUAAAGCACUUUUGUCCGGAAAGAAAUCCUUGGCUCUAAUACAGUCGGGGGAUGACGGUACCGGAAGAAUAAGCACCGGCUAACUACGUGCCAGCAGCCGCGGUAAUACGUAGGGUGCAAGCGUUAAUCGGAAUUACUGGGCGUAAAGCGUGCGCAGGCGGUUUGCUAAGACCGAUGUGAAAUCCCCGGGCUCAACCUGGGAACUGCAUUGGCGACUGGCAGGCUAGAGUAUGGCAGAGGGGGGUAGAAUUCCACGUGUAGCAGUGAAAUGCGUAGAGAUGUGGAGGAAUACCGAUGGCGAAGGCAGCCCCCUGGGCCAAUACUGACGCUCAUGCACGAAAGCGUGGGGAGCAAACAGGAUUAGAUACCCUGGUAGUCCACGCCCUAAACGAUGUCAACUAGUUGUUGGGAUUCAUUUUCCUUAGUAACGUAGCUAACGCGUGAAGUUGACCGCCUGGGGAGUACGGUCGCAAGAUUAAAACUCAAAUGAAUUGACGGGGUCAUAGCUGUUUCCU